rnacentral:rRNA from 1 species
GACGAACGCUGGCGGCAUGCCUAACACAUGCAAGUCGAACGAGACCUCCCGGUCUUGUUGCGCAAGUGUACGUAACGCGUGGGAACUUGCCCUUAGGUUCGGAAUAACUCCCUGAAAGGGGUGCUAAUACCGCUUAAUCUCUUCGGACCAAAGAUUUAUGGCUUUGGGAUGGGCCCGCGUGGGAUUAGCUGGUUGGUAGGGUAACAGCCUACCAAGGCGACGAUCCAUAGCUGGUCUGGGAGGAUGACCAGCCACACUGGGACUGAGACACGGCCCAGACUCCGACGGGAGGGAGCAGUGGGGAACAUUGGACGAUGGGCGAAAGCCUGAUCCCGCAGUGCGGGGUGAGUGAUGAAGGCCUUUGGGUUGUAAAGCUCUUUUACCCGGGAUGAUAAUGACAGUACCGGGAGAAUAAGCUCCGGCUAACUACGUG